UACAGAGGGGGCAAGCGUUGUUCGGAAUUACUGGGCGUAAAGGGCGCGUAGGCGGCCUUCUAAGUCGAACGUGAAAUCCCCGGGCUCAACCCGGGAACUGCGUCCGAUACUGGAAGGCUUGAAUCCGGGAGAGGGAUGUGGAAUUCCAGGUGUAGCGGUGAAAUGCGUAGAUAUCUGGAGGAACACCGGUGGCGAAGGCGGAUCUCUGGGCCUUACCUGACGCUCAGGCGCGAAAGCUAGGGGAGCGAACAGG
rnacentral:rRNA from 1 species